rnacentral:rRNA from 1 species
AUUGAACGCUGGCGGCAGGCCUAACACAUGCAAGUCGAGCGGAGCGGCGGACGGGUGAGUAAUGCAUAGGAUGGUGCCUGGUAGCGGGGGAUAACGUACGCAAACGGGCGCUAAUACCGCAUGUUAUCAGUUGGGCCUGGGUUGGAUUAGCUAGUUGGUGGGGUAAAGGCCUACCAAGGCGACGAUCCGUAACUGGUCUGAGAGGAUGAUCAGUCACACUGGAACUGAGACACGGUCCAGACUCCUACGGGAGGCAGCAGUGGGGAAUAUUGGACAAUGGGCGAAAGCCUGAUCCAGCCAUGCCGCGUGUAUGAAGAAGGUCCUAGGAUUGUAAAGCACUUUAAGUUGGGAGGCGUUACCGACAGAAUAAGCACCGGCUAACUUCGUGCCAGCAGCCGCGGUAAUAC